rnacentral:lncRNA from 1 species
GCAUUAGAAUGUCAAAAUAAUACUAUUUUUCUUAGAUUAUCAGGCAAUGGCAUUAUGUGAUUCCUACUCAGACCAGCAUAUUCAUACUAAAUAAAAGACUGAAUAUCACUAGAAAGUUGGCUAACAGUUAUGGGUAUGCACGUACACACACAUACUAAUUUUAAUUUAUUAUUUUAAUGCUUCUAGGGGGAAAAAAUACAAUGUUCAUCACCUUACAUAUCUUGAUUGUAGAGUUGCAUCAGAAUUAGACCUUGUUCAAGAUUAUAUACACGUGCUUAAGAAAAUACCCUAAUAUGAGAACAACAAAAGAUACUGCAGCAAUAAAUCUAAUUCUUAAAAGGUGAAAGAAGCUGAGUGCCGUGGCUUAUGCCUUAUAAUCCCAUCACUUUGGAAGGCCAGGUGGGUGGAUCACUUGAGGCCAGGAGUUGGAGACCAGCUUGGCCCACAUGGUAAAACUCUGUCUCCACUAAAAAUACAAAAAAAUUUGUGGUGGUGCGCACCUGUAAUUCUAGCUACUCAGGAAGCUGAAGCAUGAGAAUUGUUUGAACCCAGGAGGCGGAGGUUGCAGUGAACUGAGAUCAGGCCACUACACUCCAGCCUGGGCAACAGAGCGAGUCUGUCUGAGUACAUAA